GAGUAUAAGUGCGUGUGUCAAAUACACGGUAGUGUGUUUAUUGUUUUUUUUUAAAUUAAAUAUGUAUUAUUAAUGCAUAAUUUAAAAAAAUAUUAGAAUUCUGCACUCCUUCUCUAUAUUCUCUAUAAGUGUGGGAAAUUUCAUACUCCGUCCGUGCAAUUUUCGUAAAAAGGGGUACAAAGUUAUUGCUUCUCGUUAUUAAUAUAUAGAAUAUAGAUAGUCACUCAUAAAAAAUACGUUAUACAAAAUUGAGACUUCGAGCUCAUGUAAUAAGGUUGGGUAAUGUAAGUGGACAUUCACAUUGUGGAGUCUAUGAUCUUGGAUAAUAAUUGAACACAAGCUGAGCCUCGAACUCUACUUACUACUACUACUUUUAGCGCAGUAAUAAUGUAGCAACAUUGGGAGCGAGACGUAAACACAUUGGUCCAAUUUGUGUGGUGCGAUCGUGAACGUGCCCUUUGAUGUCGAUGUUUAUGAAGAUUCUCGCUUCGCUACCGAAAAAAUAAACGAAUGUACACGGUCUCUAAGCAUACGUAUUUUAACAUCUGUAUUGCUACUCUUUAUGGAGACGAAUAAUCCUUCUCGCUAGGUACACAAGUUUUUUUUAUCGUAAUAUACAAACAUGUUAAUUUUAAAAUUAUUAUUGUGAUACAGUUUGAAUAAUUAUAUUCUAAUUUAGAAAAAUAA